rnacentral:rRNA from 1 species
GAUGAACGCUGGCGGCGUGCCUAACACAUGCAAGUCGAACGGAGCUGUCGGAGCUUGCUUUGACAGCUUAGUGGCGAACGGGUGAGUAACGCGUGAGCAACCUGCCCUUGAGAGGGGGAUAACAUCGGGAAACCGAUGCUAAUACCGCAUAAAAUAUGCAGAUGGCAUCAUUGGCAUAUCAAAGGAGAAAUCCGCUCAAGGAUGGGCUCGCGUCUGAUUAGAUAGUUGGUGAGGUAACGGCCCGCCAAGUCGACGAUCAGUAGCCGGACUGAGAGGUUGACCGGCCACAUUGGGACUGAGACACGGCCCAGACUCCUACGGGAGGCAGCAGUGGGGAAUAUUGGGCAAUGGGGGGAACCCUGACCCAGCAACGCCGCGUGAAGGAAGAAGGCCUUCGGGUUGUAACUUCUUGUACAGGGAGAAGGAAGUGACGGUACCCUGAGAACAAGCUCCGGCUAACUACGUGCCACGCAGCCGCGGUAAUCAUACUCG